GCAAGGAAUUUUGCGCAAUGGGCGAAAGCCUGACGCAGCGACGCCGCGUGGGGGAUGAAGGCCCUCGGGUUGUAAACCCCUUUUCUUGAGGAAGAACAAUGACGGUACUCGAGGAAUAAGUCUUGGCUAACUACGUGCCAGCAGCCGCGGUAAUACGUAGAAGGCAAACGUUAUUCGGAUUUACUGGGCGUAAAGCGGGUGCAGACGGCUUCUUAAGUCGGGUGUGAAAUUUCCUGACUCAAUCAGGAGGGGACGUUCGAUACUAAGAAGCUUGAGGGCAGCAGAGGAAGGCGGAAUUCCCGGUGUAGCGGUGAUAUGCGUAGAUAUCGGGAGGAACACCAGUGGCGCAGGCGGCCUUCUAGGCUGCUCCUGACGUUGAGACCCUAAAGCGUGGGGAGCGAAACGGAUUAGAAACCCUGGUAGUCC
rnacentral:rRNA from 1 species